rnacentral:rRNA from 1 species
AUUGAACGCUGGCGGCGUGCUUAACACAUGCAAGUCGAUCGGUAACGCGGGGGCAACCCUGGCGACGAGAGGUGGACGGGUGAGGAACGCUUGGGAAUCUGCCCUUCAGCGGGGGACAACACGGGGAAACUCGUGCUAAUACCGCAUACGCUCCACGGAGGAAAGCCGGGGAUCGCAAGGCCUGGCACUGAAGGCUGCACUCAAGUCGGAGUAGCUGGUUGGCGGGGUAACGGCCCACCAAGGCGACGGUCCGUAGCUGGUCUGAGAGGACGAUCAGCCACACUGGGACUGAGACACGGCCCAGACUCCUACGGGAGGCAGCAGUGGGGAAUAUUGGACAAUGGGGGAAACCCUGAUCCAGCGACGCCGCGUGGGUGAAGAAGGCCUGCGGGUUGUAAAGCCCUUUCGGUAGGGACGAAAGCUCUCGACCUAACACGUCGGGAGGUUGACUUAACCUACAAAAGAAGCACCGGCUAACUCUGUGCCAGCCGCCGCCGUAAAAC